AACCAUAGUUAGUUUGGUUUGGUUCGACUGGGUUUGUGUUCGGUUCAGUUUAUAUUCAGUUUGGUUUGUAUACGGUUCGGUUGGAUUUAUUUUUUUGGAUCAGUUUACUUAACUUCUUCUUAGUUUUAUUUUUUUUAAGAGAAAUUAUGUUUUUUUUUUGUCAAGAAACGGCUAUUCUAUUAGUCAAACAUGAAGUGGUCUAGGUAACCAGACCGGAAUAGAACAACCAAUAAAACAAAGAGAUCUAUGAAAAGAUCGAGCAUUCCUAGCUAAAGAAUCAGCAAUUUCAUUAUGUGUUCUUGGCACGUAGGUGAUCUUGA
rnacentral:lncRNA from 1 species